GGGGGUGCACCGGUUUCGACUGGUACGGUUCGUGGUACAGGUUGCAGGUGGAGUGCCGACCUCCUAACAUUCGGCAACAUUUUAAUUGCCGAUUACGACAAUUACGCUCUUGCUGCUUAAACAGCAGAACGCGGAAGCUGAUCCCGCCGCCUUGAGGGGUUUUCUUUCCGACGCAACCAAGGCUGGUCAACCGUUGUUUCCGGACGGCGUGCGACAAGAUUAUUCCGGAAUACGGGUGGGCCGCGUGCCGCGAAGCCACGUUCACCUCGACACCCUAAUCCGCGGCUAAACCUGUAGUGGCCUGUAUUGCGCGUAGUAGGACGCGGGUUCGACUCCCGCCACCUCCAA
rnacentral:tmRNA from 1 species